UACGAAGGGGGCUAGCGUUGCUCGGAAUCAUUGGGCGUAAAGGGCGCGUAGGCGGCCUGGCAAGUGGAAGGUGAAAUCCCUCGGCUUAACCGAGGAACUGCCCUCCAAACUGCUUGGCUUGAGUCCGGGAGAGGUGAGUGGAAUUCCCAGUGUAGCGGUGAAAUGCGUAGAUAUUGGGAGGAACACCAGUGGCGAAGGCGGCUCACUGGACCGGAACUGACGCUGAUGCGCGAAAGCGUGGGGAGCAAACGGG
rnacentral:rRNA from 1 species